GAUGCCUUGAGGAAAAGACAGGUCUUUGGAGGACGAAGACAAAGUGAUCCUGGUGCUCAGAGGGUACUUCUGGACUUUAAGGCCAUAUUAUUCCAAUAAUAGGCAAUGAAGAUGAUUUAUUCCAUUUAUGUGGAGGCAGGGAAACGAAGAUUCCAUGAGGCCAAGCGACUUACCCUGGGGAUAUGUGGAAGAAGUUGCCCAGCCAGAAAAGGGAAUCAGAGAAGGUUGGAAUCAGAGCCCUAUGUGUUUACAACUUAAGAAGAGACUCAUUCUUUAUAUAUAAAAACAUUUCUGCUUCUCUUCAGAUUGGUAUAGUUGAGGGAAAGUGGUUUAUGUGUCCUCCUGAGACUCUCAAAAAUGUUAGCUAUUUGUUUCCAGGACCUGCAAUCACAAAUCUUGUGUUGGUAGUACUAACACUUCCAAC